CUCACUGUCUCGGCGACACCUCCUGCCUUCCUCACUCUCUCAGGGGACGCCCACCGCCCAGGCGCCCAAGGCUUGCUACAUCAGCCACUCAGCCAGAUAGCCACCGCGCGAAUCUCCGACUUGCCCAGGGCUAACAAGGGAGUGAAGGAACCACGAAUUCUUAUUCUUGCAAUGUAAUGUUAUGAGUUUUCGUGGAUUCAUUUGUAUUUUCGGUGGACUCAUUUGUAUUUUUGGUGUUUGGGAAUUGGGAAUUUAUAGACGUUAUGUA